GCAUUUUUUUCUGUUGACAUUUGGGGCUUCUCCUUGUAGAAGGCAUAGGAUUUCAGGUGAAAAGAACACUUUGCAGCAAGUAAACUGCAACAAGAAAAAUGAGGCCUCCAGAUUAAAGGUGUGUCUCAAGAUCUGGAUUAAAGCUGUGUGUUGAUCUGGAUUAAGAACAUGUGUCAUCCCUCCUCAAGAUUUGGCUGAAAAGCUUGUGUCUUCCUGGCUCAAGAUCCAGGUUACCAGUGUGCUCUCCAUUUCUGGAUUCUUUGUUCAUUCCAAAUAUAGUUAAGUUGACAAUCAAGAAUAUUUAUCACAUAUACCGCAUCAUGGUCGUACCCCCAAUCCUUCAUUUAUUCUUCCUUUGUUUUAUAGCUUGAAUAAAGCCUAAAUUCUUUCGUACUUAGUCAGAAGCUUUACAUAAAUGGAUGUCUAUAAUUCUGUGCAUAUGUAGUGAACAGUCUUAGAAUGUUGUUCAGAAAUGUUAACCGGCCACUUUCAAUUCUACAGAGUAGUAAUAAUUAAAAAGCCAACAACAGGAAGUUUAAUAAGCAAUAACUGCCCUGGACCUUUGUCCCCAGUUCUGAGGAUGAACCUUUGGCUCUCUGGUAUCUGAAAUCUUGUAAUUAAACAGAUAUACAAAGGAGGGUCAGCACUUUAUAAAUUCAAGAGUAAAAGCACAUUAAUUAUAAUUAGAAAACACAAUAACAAGGAAGUCAACUUAUGCCUGUUUUAAGUUCUACUGUUGGCAAAGCAGUUCUCUAUUUCUCAAGGUAACUAGUUCUAUAUUCCAUUAACUUUUGAACAAACGUGAGCAAUCUGCAGUACACAGAAUACUGAUACAAGAAUAUUUACUCCAGCAUGCAGAUCAAAUUGUAAGAAAUUCCUU